GAAUUGAUACAUAAAAUAUGAGCUAGUGCGCAUUUAGAAUGAAUCGAAUUUC
rnacentral:sRNA from 1 species